UGAUUCAGAACCUCAGUCUCUUCCUGC
rnacentral:sRNA from 1 species